AUUGAACGCUAGCGGGAUGCCUUACACAUGCAAGUCGAACGGAGUGGCGAACGGGUGAGUAAUGUAUUGGAAAGUGCCCAUUAGCCGCGGAUAACUACGCGAAAGCUCAGCUAAUACCGCAUACUAUUAGAGCGGCCGCAAGGGGAUUAGCUAGUUGGUGGGGUAACGGCUCACCAGGUCGACGAUCCGUAGCUGGUUUGAGAGGACGACCAGCCAAACUGGGACUGAGACACGGCCCAGAUGCCUACGGGAGGCAGCAGGGGGGAAUUUUGGGCAAUGGGGGAAACCCUGAUCCAGCAAUCCCGCGUGUGCGAUGAAGGCUUGCGGGUUGUAAAACACUUUUGGCAGGAAAGCGGUACCUGCAGAGUAAGCACCGGCUAACUACGUGCCAGCAGCCGCGGUAAUUC
rnacentral:rRNA from 1 species